rnacentral:rRNA from 1 species
GGGGAAUAUUGGGCAAUGGGGGCAACCCUGACCCAGCAACGCCGCGUGAAGGAAGAAGGCCUUCGGGUUGUAAACUUCUUUGACCAGGGACGAAGAACGUGACGGUACCUGGAAAACAAGCCACGGCUAACUACGUGCCAGCAGCCGCGGUAAUACGUAGGUGGCAAGCGUUGUCCGGAUUUACUGGGUGUAAAGGGCGCGUAGGCGGGACUGCAAGUCAGAUGUGAAAUGCUGGGGCUUAACCCUGGAACUGCAUUUGAAACUGUGGUUCUUGAGUAUCGGAGAGGCAGGCGGAAUUCCUAGUGUAGCGGUGAAAUGCGUAGAUAUUAGGAGGAACACCAGUGGCGAAGGCGGCCUGCUGGACGACAACUGACGCUGAGGCGCGAAAGCGUGGGGAGCAAAC